CGCCCACAGAGGCCCUGCUCACGGAGGCCCCGCCCUCACCUGCCGCAGGCCCAGUGCCCCGGGGACCAGGAGCGGGGCGUCGGAGGGGUCCUGGACCCUCGGCCCAAGGUGAUCUGGAAGGACAAUCUAUGAAUUGGACAAGUGAAGAAGGAAGAGGAGACAUUAUAAGAAGUGGGACCAACAUAGACCGAGCCUGGCAGUCAAGAAGGUGGCUGUGUACAAGCUAGGAAGAGGGCCCUCAGCAGAACCAUCCUGGCUGACCAUGCAGGCAUUCCGAUCUUGGACUUCCAGCCUCCAGAACUGGAGAUAACUAGAAUUACGCCUCAACACAACACAAUACAAGCAGAGGUAUGAAGUUCCAGGAGGAAAUUGUUACAUAUCAAAAAAAAUUCUGUGACCUGGCUAAUAUGAACCAGUUGGAGCUGGGAGAACAC